AUUGAACGCUGGCGGCAGGCCUAACACAUGCAAGUCGAGCGGAUGAAGGGAGCUUGCUCCUGGAUUCAGCGGCGGACGGGUGAGUAAUGCCUAGGAAUCUGCCUGGUAGUGGGGGAUAACGUCCGGAAACGGGCGCUAAUACCGCGUACGUCCUGAGGGAGAAAGUGGGGGAUCUUCGGACCUCACGCUAUCAGAUGAGCCUAGGUCGGAUUAGCUAGUUGGUGGGGUAAAGGCCUACCAAGGCGACGAUCCGUAACUGGUCUGAGAGGAUGAUCAGUCACACUGGAACUGAGACACGGUCCAGACUCCUACGGGAGGCAGCAGUGGGGAAUAUUGGACAAUGGGCGAAAGCCUGAUCCAGCCAUGCCGCGUGUGUGAAGAAGGUCUUCGGAUUGUAAAGCACUUUAAGUUGGGAGGAAGGGCAGUAAGUUAAUACCUUGCUGUUUUGACGUUACCAAAAGAAUAAGCACCGGCUAACUUCGUG
rnacentral:rRNA from 1 species